rnacentral:lncRNA from 10 species
UAGCCAAUAAUAUGCAUGUAAAAUGUUUUGGUGGAAGCAUACUGAUAAUAGAUGAAUAGAGAGAUGGGAAAAUAGUUAUACAUAUAAUAAAACAGCAAAAUACAAUUUAAAUGAUAAAAUUUGUGUGGUCAGUAUAUGAAUAUUUACCAAAUCUUUCAAUUUUGCUAUGUUUAAAUUUUUUUUCUUAAAAAUGAUUGGGAGAAAACAUAUUAAUCAGAUAAUAAACAUUUUGUUGUUACAGUAGAGUUAAUGAUGCACCAUUUACAGCUCCUCUUCAUUGAAGGGCUUGUUUUCCACUUUGGUUGGAAUGCACUAACUUGGAGUUGCAACAGCCUUCAGCUCUUCACCACUUAGGAACUGCCCCAGCUGCUCGUCAUUCAAGCUAAUAGGAAUUGCCCCAACUGUUCCUCAUUCAAGCUCAUAGGAAUUGCCCCAACUGUUCCUCAUUCAAGCUAACCCUUCCCUGGUCAAUCUUGUGACUGAUGGAGGAAUAUGGAAGCCAAACCACUUGACAGGCCAGAAGAUGUUGUGCAUUUCAAACAGACAAAUGAAGCUGUAGAAGAUUGUUUCUUGAAGGACUCAACCAAAUAAGAAAUAUCUAAAGUUGCAUGCCUCGUUGUAAAGGAAGUAUAUUAAACAUACACUCUGACAAAAUUAACACAGCAAGAUUGCACUUACACUGUAUAAUCACUACACAAAAAGCCAAUAAUCACUUUGUUCAAAAGAGAUAAUGCCACAUAAUAUAAGUAGUAGUUUAAGCAAUUAUCCAGUAGAACAGUUAAUCAUCACCCUCAGUUCACAGCCUUUUGUUUCUCACCAAUACACAUGUCAGAUUGUAAUUAAAUGCACUCACACUGUUCAGGGCAGAAUGAGAGUCCUGGGUUGAAAUGUGGGAACCAAACUGAAAAGCACAAUAAAGACAUGUUUAGACAGCUUUUUAACUGUAUCUGCCUGGCAUGGGGUCUUGGUUGACAAAUUGGCUAUAUAAGGGUGAAACCACACUGGGGCACCUUAUUUAUAGAAAAAAAUAAUUUAUGCCUAUAGAAAAGUUAUGUUAUUCUGUUUAUAAAUUUUCCAAGCGUUGACUUUCUGAGUGAAUUAUUUGCCAG